rnacentral:rRNA from 1 species
UACGUAGGGUCCAAGCGUUAAUCGGAAUUACUGGGCGUAAAGCGUGCGCAGGCGGUUGUGUAAGCCAGAUGUGAAAUCCCCGGGCUUAACCUGGGAAUGGCAUUUGGGACUGCACGGCUAGAGUACGGCAGAGGAGACUAGAAUUCCUGGUGUAGCAGUGAAAUGCGUAGAUAUCAGGAGGAAUACCGAUGGCGAAGGCGGGUCUCUGGGUCGAUACUGACGCUCAUGCACGAAAGCGUGGGGAGCAAACAGG